GACGAACGCUGGCGGCGUGCUUAACACAUGCAAGUCGAACGGAAAGGCUUCCAGUUUUGCUGGGGGUACUCGAGUGGCGAACGGGUGAGUAACACGUGGGUGAUCUGCCUUGCACUUCGGGAUAAGCUUGGGAAACUGGGUCUAAUACCGGAUAGGAGCAAUCUUUGGUGUGGUUGUUGGAAAGAUUUUUUCGGUGUGGGAUGAGCUCGCGGCCUAUCAGCUUGUUGGUGGGGUAAUGGCCUACCAAGGCGUCGACGGGUAGCCGGCCUGAGAGGGUGUACGGCCACAUUGGGACUGAGAUACGGCCCAGACUCCUACGGGAGGCAGCAGUGGGGAAUAUUGCACAAUGGGCGCAAGCCUGAUGCAGCGACGCCGCGUGGGGGAUGACGGCCUUCGGGUUGUAAACCUCUUUUACCACUCACGAAGGCUCCCAGUGUUCUGGGGGUUGACGGUAGGUGGUGAAUAAGGACCGGCUAACUAC
rnacentral:rRNA from 1 species